rnacentral:rRNA from 1 species
AUUGAACGCUGGCGGCAUGCCUUACACAUGCAAGUCGAACGGUAACAGGUCUUCGGAUGCUGACGAGUGGCGAACGGGUGAGUAAUACAUCGGAACGUGCCUAGUAGUGGGGGAUAACUACUCGAAAGAGUGGCUAAUACCGCAUGAGAUCUACGGAUGAAAGCAGGGGAUCGCAAGACCUUGUGCUACUAGAGCGGCCGAUGGCAGAUUAGGUAGUUGGUGGGAUAAAAGCUUACCAAGCCGACGAUCUGUGGCUGGUCUGAGAGGACGAUCAGCCACACUGGGACUGAGAAACGGCCCAGACUCCUACGGGAGGCAGCAGUGGGGAAUUUUGGACAAUGGGCGCAAGCCUGAUCCAGCAAUGCCGCGUGCAGGAUGAAGGCCUUCGGGUUGUAAACUGCUUUUGUACGGAACGAAAAGCCCCGGGUUAAUACCCUGGGGUCAUGACGGUACCGUAAGGAUAAGCACCGGCUGACUACGUGCCAGCCGCCGCCGUAA